rnacentral:rRNA from 1 species
AACGAACGCUGGCGGCAUGCCUAACACAUGCAAGUCGAACGAGACCUUCGGGUCUAGUGGCGCACGGGUGCGUAACGCGUGGGAACCUGCCCUUAGGUUCGGAAUAACUCCCCGAAAGGGGUGCUAAUACCGGAUAAUGUCUUCGGACCAAAGAUUUAUCGCCUUUGGAUGGGCCCGCGUUGGAUUAGCUAGUUGGUAGGGUAAAAGCCUACCAAGGCGACGAUCCAUAGCUGGUCUGAGAGGAUGAUCAGCCACACUGGGACUGAGACACGGCCCAGACUCCUCGGGGGGGCAGGAGGGGGGAAAAUUGAACAAGGGGCGAAAGCCUAAUCCAGAAAUGCCGGGGGAGUGAUGAAGGCCUUGGGGUUGUAAAGCUCUUUUACCCGGGAUGAUAAGGACAGUACCGGGAGAAUAAGCUCCGGCUAACCCCGG